UUGACCUCGAAUCAGGUAGGAAUACCCGCUGAACUUAAGCAUAUCAAUAAGCGGAGGAAAAGAAACCAACAGGGAUUGCCUUAGUAACGGCGAGUGAAGCGGCAACAGCUCAAAUUUGAAAUCUGGCCUAUGGUCCGAGUUGUAAUUUGCAGAGGAUGCUUCGGGCGCGGUGCCUUCCAAGUCCCCUGGAACGGGGCGCCGGAGAGGGUGAGAGCCCCGUACGGUUGGCGGCCAAGCCUGUGUGAAGCUCCUUCGACGAGUCGAGUAGUUUGGGAAUGCUGCUCUAAGCGGGAGGUAGACCCCUUCUAAAGCUAAAUACCGGCCAGAGACCGAUAGCGCACAAGUAGAGUGAUCGAAAGAUGAAAAGCACUUUGAAAAGAGGGUUAAACAGCACGUGAAAUUGUUGAAAGGGAAGCGCUUGUGACCAGACGUGCGCCGGGGUGUUCAGCGGGCGUUCUCGCCCGUGCACUCGCCCCGGUGCAGGCCAGCGUCGGUUUGGGUGGGGGG
rnacentral:rRNA from 1 species